GGUGAGAUGGCCGAGCGGUCUAAGGCGCUACGUUCAGGUCUUCCUGAGUUUAUAAUCGUAGUCAAGAAAUUGGCGUGGGUUCGAAUCCCACUCUCAUCA
rfam:Pestalotiopsis fici W106-1 unplaced genomic scaffold PFICI_Scf_11, whole genome shotgun sequence.